UACGUAGGGGGCAAGCGUUGUCCGGAUUUAUUGGGCGUAAAGAGCGUGUAGGCGGCCAUGCAGGUCAGCUGUGAAAACUCGAGGCUCAACCUCGAGACGUCGGUUGAAACCGUAUGGCUAGAGUCCGGAUGAGGAGAGUGGAAUUCCCGGUGUAGCGGUGAAAUGCGCAGAUAUCGGGAAGAACACCUAUGGCGAAGGCAGCUCUCUGGGACGGUACUGACGCUGAGACGCGAAAGCGUGGGGAGCGAACAGG
rnacentral:rRNA from 1 species